GGGAGCACGCUUAGGCGUGUGACUGCGUACCUUUUGUAUAAUGGGUCAGCGACUUAUAUUCUGUAGCAAGGUUAACCGAAUAGGGGAGCCGAAGGGAAACCGAGUCUUAACUGGGCGUUAAGUUGCAGGGUAUAGACCCGAAACCCGGUGAUCUAGCCAUGGGCAGGUUGAAGGUUGGGUAACACUAACUGGAGGACCGAACCGACUAAUGUUGAAAAAUUAGCGGAUGACUUGUGGCUGGGGGUGAAAGGCCAAUCAAACCGGGAGAUAGCUGGUUCUCCCCGAAAGCUAUUUAGGUAGCGCCUCGUGAAUUCAUCUCCGGGGGUAGAGCACUGUUUCGGCAAGGGGGUCAUCCCGACUUACCAACCCGAUGCAAACUGCGAAUACCGGAGAAUGUUAUCACGGGAGACACACGGCGGGUGCUAACGUCCGUCGUGAAGAGGGAAACAACCCAGACCGCCAGCUAAGGUCCCAAAGUCAUGGUUAAGUGGGAAACGAUGUGGGAAGGCCCAGACAGCCAGGAUGUUGGCUUAGAAGCAGCCAUCAUUUAAAGAAAGCGUAAUAGCUCACUGGUCGAGUCGGCCUGCGCGGAAGAUGUAACGGGGCUAAACCAUG
rnacentral:rRNA from 1 species